CAAUAUAUGGCUCAGAUAGUAAAGUGUCUGCCUGCAAUGCAGGAGACCUGGGUUCAAUUCCUGGGUUGG
rnacentral:tRNA from 1 species